UUCCAGACUCCUACGGGAGGCAGCAGUGGGGAAUAUUGCACAAUGGGGGAAACCCUGAUGCAGCGACGCCGCGUGAGUGAAGAAGUAUUUCGGUAUGUAAAGCUCUAUCAGCAGGGAAGAAGUUGACGGUACCUGAGUAAGAAGCCCCGGCUAACUACGUGCCAGCAGCCGCGGUAAUACGUAGGGGGCAAGCGUUAUCCGGAUUUACUGGGUGUAAAGGGAGCGUAGACGGUUACGCAAGUCUGGAGUGAAAGGCGGGGGCCCAACCCCCGGACUGCUGUGGAAACUGUAUAACUGGAGUGCAGGAGAGGGAAGUGGAAUUCCUAGUGUAGCGGUGAAAUGCGUAGAUAUUAGGAGGAACACCAGUGGCGAAGGCGGCGUACUGGACAGUAACUGACGUUGAGGCUCGAAAGCGUGGGGAGCAAACAGGAUUAGAUACCCCCGUAGUC
rnacentral:rRNA from 1 species